CCUAAAGGGAAAAAAGGAGCAUAAUUUACAUCUAAGGAGGUCAUAGAAGAUGCACAUUAAACAAACGUCCGUGAAUAACAUGCAGUGGUUUCUUUGCAGAAUUACACACAACAGUCUUUGUCAAUGAGUGCCAACAUUUAGCUGCUUUCUUAAUGAAAGUUUUGGUGAUCACCGGUAAUGAUUUUAAUUGGUUUAUCAAUGUAACUUAUGGCUCAAACACCAAAUCCAUUUCAGUGUCCUAGAGUUACGUAAGAUAUACUUGUGGAGCAUUACUGUAGGAAAACGUACACAAAACAUGAGAACUUAAAUAAUAAGCACUGACAUGGUACGGUCCAGGAACGGCAGAAGAAAAUGUGAACCAAACACCCAAUGCCACUGAAGACGAAGCAGAGACAAGGACUGUCAGUAAAUCCAGGGUGAUACAUGGGGAGGAUCGAGCCAAGUGUGCAAAGUGUGGCAAGUGGGGCUCGGUAAAUGACUUGCUGAGUCUUCUACGUGGGUGGAGAGGGUGCUGCGCGAUAAAGAAUUGAAGUAGAUUUUCAUGCACAAUUAAAUAAAAGUCACGCUAAGGAAAUAUGGAGGGUGUGGGAUAAAGUUCUGAUAUGUUCUGGAAAAGACUGAGAGGAGGAAAUAAAAGGUCAGGAAGUUUCUUAAGCUUUGUAUAGAUUCACUUCUCCAAGUUUCAGUUCUGCAGGUGUCUGGGUCGAAGCCUCCCUCAUUCCCACCCGAUUUACCCCCAGCGGGGACCUGCUUUUGACGGAGGUCUGGGACAUCCUCCACACCUGCUACAAGGACCACAUGUGGUUGGACUCUAUACCAUUGAUGAGCAAAUAGCUCAUCUGGCUUUCAAGAGCAGAGACAAGAAGGGAAGGAAUCCCAGUCAGCCUAGAGUCUCUGCCACCCCAUGGUGAAGAGGGCGUGCUCAGUUCCUGUAGCUGCUGCAACACAGGACCACAUGCUGGGUAGUUUAAAAAGCAACAGCUUCUUAGCUCACAGUUACAGAGACCGGGUCCAAGAUGGAGGUUCCAUCAGGGUUGGCUCCCCCUGUGGUCAUGAGAAACUGCUCUGUGUCCCCUCAGUCUCUGGUGCUGGCUGACCUGCUCUGAAGUUCCUUGGCUCGUGGACACAUCACACUUGGCCUUCAUGAGCUCAGUGUUCUCUUGGCUGUGUCCCCUUCCAUGAGGACCCCAGCAAACCAGGCCAGGCAUCCUCCGUGUCCUCAGCUUACACGCAGCAAUCUUAGCACUUCAAUAUCAGAAUUUGGGGGAAAGAAACUCAUCUCAUCACUGAAGCGUCCAGGGAUGGAAGCAAAUGUAAAGUCCAAAAUGGUAACACCUGGCAUGAAGUUGCUAGAAGGGGUCAGUGGAUUUGGGAAUUGGGUUAAAAUCCCAGAUAUCUGUUCCAGCCCUGGAUGCAAUUAAGAAAGACGAUUCAAAACCAAUCCUAUACCUGGCCUGAACUAUCUAGAAUUUUUCCUGUAAAAUAAAUAGUAAAUAUUUCAUAAAGCAUGUGAUCAAAAAGAUAUUUGUGCUGUUUGUAUCAGACUUUAAAUGGCUAAAUUAGAGGAAAGGUGUUCUGUGCUGUGGAAGAUCAAAAGUUCUUGAAAUCCUUACUAGGUUUUGAGCUCAAACUGUAACACAGCUGCAAAUAGUAAGAGUUCUCCUCAGAGGUUCCAAAUUUAGAGGUUGAAGUUUGAGAGGAAACCAGACGUCACCUAUUUAAAAGAAGAGAACGGGGGAUUCAAAAGACUAUUGAAGCAAGGGUUGUUGGAGCAGUGAAGAGGUGGAAAAGAGGCUGCAGAGACCCAGUCUGCCUUCUCCGCCAGCUGUUGGGAUUUCAGUUCACGGGACAGACCUUCAGAAGGAGAGCAAGCUGUGUCCCGCACUCAUCGACGUCUCCUCUUGGGUUGGGGUGAGCUGCCUCUCUCAGACCUUUGGUCUUCGAGUCCAGCUCGGAGCAGUAGUUCCUCUUGGGUCCUUGGCGGCCUCUCAGCCAUCUCACCAGCAGAUUUUACCAUGUACUACAGAGAGAAACGCUGAUGUCCAUGACACUCAACAGUGGGUACGGUGUGGGACGCCUGAAACACAGAAUGAUGCACACACAUCAGCCACUGAUAGAAACGCCUUCAAUAAAAUAAAAGCCCUAAGUAAGGGCCACGUCAGGUGAGGCUCAGACAAGAUCCACAACCUGAACUGAUCAAGGGAAAGGACCAGAGAGCAAAGCUGAGCUUGGUGGGCCAGAAGGCCAACCAAGAAAGCAAAGCGAGACGAAAGGAGGCUUCACGGGCCAGCUGAGCAUGGGGAGCCUGCGAUGGACCUCAGGCAGGUGGUGCUGUGCUAGGUCGCUAGGUCGCUGGCUGCCGCUCCUGCAUUCUGGGAGGCAGAGUUAUCUCCAGUCUGCACUUGGGAGAGCCAACACUCACAGACUGCAUCCAGCCCAUGCGUGUGGUUUUUGUGUUUUCUUUGCUAGCCCAGUGCUUGCUCGGACACAACAUCAAACAUACUGACUCUGCCAUCCUAGCAACUAAUAGAAGAUUUUGCAUAAAAUUUUAGAUUGACUUCUGUUGAAAAACUGCUAGAUAUGGGAUUUUUUAAUUUUUUUUCUAAAUGACUCUAUUAGCUACUUUUCUUGUCAUUGUGACAA